AGGCUUGAUCCUGGCUCAGAUUGAACGCUGGCGGCAUGCUUUACACAUGCAAGUCGAACGGUAACAGGUCUUCGGAUGCUGACGAGUGGCGAACGGGUGAGUAAUGCAUCGGAACGUGCCCAGUCGUGGGGGAUAACGCAGCGAAAGCUGUGCUAAUACCGCAUACGAUCUGCGGAUGAAAGCGGGGGACCUUCGGGCCUCGCGCGAUUGGAGCGGCCGAUGUCAGAUUAGGUAGUUGGUGGGGUAAAGGCUCACCAAGCCAACGAUCUGUAGCUGGUCUGAGAGGACGACCAGCCACACUGGGACUGAGACACGGCCCAGACUCCUACGGGAGGCAGCAGUGGGGAAUUUUGGACAAUGGGCGCAAGCCUGAUCCAGCAAUGCCGCGUGCAGGAAGAAGGCCUUCGGGUUGUAAACUGCUUUUGUACGGAACGAAAAGCUCUGGGUUAAUACCCUGGGGUCAUGACGGUACCGUAU
rnacentral:rRNA from 1 species